rnacentral:rRNA from 1 species
UUAGAACCGGGGUAAGCGUGUAGGAGGAGGACCAGGCAAAUCCGGGCCUCAUAUACUCUGAGACGUGAUACCGAGCCGCUCCAGGCGAAGUCAUUAAUCCUAUGCUGCCUAGAAAAGCCCAGUAGCGAGUUGACAUGGUGCCCGUACCCCAAACCAACACAGGUGGACAGGUAGAGCAUACCAAGGCGAGUGGGAUAACUAUGGUUAAGGAACUCGGCAAAUUUCCUCCGUAACUUCGGGAUAAGGAGGACCCCAGUAGCGUGACGAGACUUGCUCUCCGAGCGUGAAGGGGUGGCACAAAAUUGAGGGAAGCGACUGUUUACCAAAAACACAGCAGCGUGCUAAGCCGUAAGGCGCUGUAUACGCUGUGACUCCUGCCCGGUGCUGGAAGGUUACGGGGAUGGGUUAGUCCUUUGGGACGAAGCUCUGAUCCUAAGCCCCAGUAAACGGCGGCCGUAACUAUAACGGUCCUAAGGUAGCGAAAUUCCUUGUCGGGUAAGUUCCGACCUGCACGAAUGGAGUAACGACUUCCCUACUGUCUCAACCAUAGACCCAGCGAAAUUGAAGUACGAGUAAAGAUGCUCGUUAGCUGCAGAAGGACGGAAAGACCCCGUGGACCUUUACUAUAACUUGAUGUUGUAUUUCGUCAUAUGUUGUGUAGGAUAGGUGGGAGACAAGGAAGCAUGGACGCUAGUCUGUGUGGAGUCAUCGUUGAAAUACCACCCUGCAUAUGGUGAGGCUCUAACCUAGACCCGUUAUCCGGGUUGGGGACAGCGUCAGGCGGGUAGUUUAACUGGGGCGGUUGCCUCCUAAAGAGUAACGGAGGCGCCCAAAGGUUCCCUCAGCCUGGUUGGCAAUCAGGCGUCGAGUGCAAUGGCAAAAGGGAGCUUGACUGCGAGACCUACAAGUCGAGCAGGAGCGAAAGCUGGGCAUAGUGAUCCGGCGGUUGCGUGUGGAAGCGCCGUCGCUCAACGGAUAAAAGGUACCCCGGGGAUAACAGGCUAAUCUUGCCCAAGCGUCCAUAGCGACGGCAAGGUUUGGCACCUCGAUGUCGGCUCAUCGCAUCCUGGGGCUGAAGCAGGUCCCAAGGGUUGGGCUGUUCGCCCAUUAAAGCGGUACGCGAGCUGGGUUCAGAACGUCGUGAGACAGUUCGGUCCCUAUCCUCUGUAGCCGUAGGUGAAUUGAGGAAAGCUGUCCCUAGUACGAGAGGACCGGGACGGACGCAGCUCUCGUGUGCCAGUUGUCCUGCCAAGGGCAUGGCUGGUUAGCGACCUGCGGAAAGGAUAACCGCUGAAAGCAUCUAAGCGGGAAGCCUCUUCCAAGAUGAAUUCACCCACAGGGUUAACCUGGUAAGGCCCGUGGUAGACCACCACGUUGAUAGGCCGGAAGUGUAA